rnacentral:rRNA from 1 species
UACGUAGGGUGCGAGCGUUGUCCGGAAUUACUGGGCGUAAAGAGCUCGUAGGCGGUCUGUCGCGUCGGAUGUGAAAAUCCAGGGCUCAACCCUGGACCUGCAUUCGAUACGGGCAGACUAGAGUUCGGCAGGGGAGACUGGAAUUCCUGGUGUAGCGGUGAAAUGCGCAGAUAUCAGGAGGAACACCAAUGGCGAAGGCAGCUCGCUGGGACGGUACUGACGCUGGAGAACGCGAAAGCGUGGGGAGCAAACAGG